GAGAGAGAGACAUGCGCGCAUAUCAAUAAGCGGAGGAAAAGAAACUAACUAAGGAUUCCCCUCAGUAACGGCGAGUGAAGCGGGAAGAGCUCAAAUUUGAAAUCUUCAAGGGUUCUACCUUUACGAAUUGUAGUUUAAAGAAGUGUUUUCUGUUGAGGUUUUGGUAAAAGUUCUUUGGAAUAGGACAUCAUAGAGGGUGAGAAUCCCGUAUUUGACCAUUUACUUUCCAACUUUGUGAUACACUUUCAAAGAGUCGGAUUGUUUGGGAAUGCAGUCCAAAAUGGGUGGUAAAUUUCAUCUAAAGCUAAAUACUGGCGAGAGACCGAUAGCGAACAAGUACCGUGAGGGAAAGAUGAAAAGAACUUUGAAAAGAGAGUUAAACAGUACGUGAAAUUGUCAAAAGGGAAGCGUUUGACACCAGUGUUGUUUUCUCGAAAAUCAAUUAAAAAAGGCAGGAUUUUGUGUUGUAUUGACUUUAUCAGCUUUCUGCACUCUUUUCUUGUCUUUUUUAAUGCACUUUUCGUUUAACAAGUCAACAUCAAUUUCUUUUGUUGUAAAAGGGUCAUUGGAAGGUGGCUUUCUUUUCGGAGAAAGUGUUUAUAGCCUUUGGCCUCUGCAAUCGGAGAGAUUGAGGUCUGCAGCGUAGAUCCUUCGGGGUUAGAUACAUUUGUGCUAAGUUAUAGCCUUUCAUAGACAACUUGUUGACUAUGAUCAGUCAUGUAGCUUACUCGCUUAUGCUAUUUUACCUACGCUUAGGAUGUUGAUGUGAUACUGCGAGCA
rnacentral:rRNA from 1 species